AACGAACGCUGGCGGCGUGGAUAAGACAUGCAAGUCGAACGGAACUACUUUUAGUAGCAAUACCGAGAGUAGUUUAGUGGCGAACGGGUGCGUAACACGUGGGCAAUCUGCCGAGAAGUGGGGGAUAGCUCGCCGAAAGGCGAAUUAAUACCGCAUGUGAUGAGAGGCGACAUCGUCUUGAAAUCAAAGCCGGGGCAACCUGGCGCUUUUGAGGAGCCCGCGGCCUANCAGCUUGUUGGUGAGGUAACGGCUCACCAAGGCUUUGACGGGUAGCUGGUCUGAGAGGACGACCAGUCACACUGGAACUGAGACACGGUCCAGACACCUACGGGUGGCAGCAGUCGAGUAAUUUUUCUC
rnacentral:rRNA from 1 species